AUUGAACGCUGGCGGCAGGCCUAACACAUGCAAGUCGAGCGGAGCGGCGGACGGGUGAGUAAUGCCCAGGAAUCUGACUGGUAGUGGGGGAUAACGUCCGGAAACGGGCGCUAAUACCGCAUACUAUCAGAUGAGCCUAGGUCGGAUCAGAUUGUUGGUGGGGUAAAGGUCUACCAAGGCGACGAUCCGUAACUGGUCUGAGAGGAUGAUCAGUCAAGCUGGAACUGAGACACGGUCCAGACUCCUACGGGAGACAGCAGUGGGGAAUCUGGGACAAUGAGCGAAAUGCUGAUCCAGCCAUGCCGCGUGUGUGAAAAAGGUCUGCGGAGUGUAAAGCACGUUAAGUUGGGAAGCGUUACCAACAGAAAAAGCACCGGCUAACUACGUGCCAGCAGCCGCGGUAAUUC
rnacentral:rRNA from 1 species